rnacentral:lncRNA from 1 species
UCGUAACCUAGCAGUGAGCGCCCUCAUCGUGGCUCUGUGUCUCGUAGCAGCAGUCGCUGCACACAGCAGAUAUGGAAUUGGCGGACACAGACCUGUUGUCCACGGAGGUGUCCUUGGUGGUGUUCACAGUGGUGUCCUCGGAGGUGUCCACGGAGGUGUCCAUGGUGGUAUCCACAGUGGUGUCCACGGAGGCCUUGGACUCGUAGGAUCUGGCAUCCACGGCGCUGGUUCCUUCAGUGCCGCUCAUUACCCCGGUCUUGUUCCCGGUUACAGUUUCUACGACCACCAGCCGGUGCUCGGAUAUAACCAGUGCAAGUUCUGGUGCAAAAGUAGUUAUACUAACAAAUACUACUGCUGCCAACGACCUUACCAGGGAUAGAUCCAGAAAUGUUUACUAAAAUCUAUUUAUAUGUUGUUCAUGUAUUAUGUUGUAUAAUAGUUUUCUUUCUUAAAAAUAAAACUGAUUUUGAUGA